CCGUGGCCUAGUGGUUAAAACCUCCGCUUCGGAUGCGGGAGGUUGCGGGUUCGAAAGCCCUGCCAAAUCGU